AGUGAUACUUCCAAUUACAAUUUGACACCUCAGUGUUCAUUCUAGUCUUCUCCUUUUCUGUAUUUUUAAACUAAAAUCUUUCCCAUUUCCCUGCCUGCUUUUGAGUCUGAGCCAAAUGCCAGUGAUGGUGGCUGACUCCCUUGCUAUAGAAGCUCUGAAUAAAUAGCCUCUAUUUGUUCUCAUUUAGGUGGUCUUUGUUUAUUUCCACACUCUCCAGCCCUGCAAAUCCACUCUCUAGCCCAGGACAGCCUUCCUUUGGAUAUGAACUAUUGCAUGAGCCCCUGGGGAGUCUCAUUGCCCCAUUCU
rnacentral:lncRNA from 1 species